rnacentral:rRNA from 1 species
UCGUGCGAGAACGCUUCCUUCGGGAUGCUAGUAAAGCGGCGCACGGGUGAGUAACACGUAGGUAAUCUACCUCGAAGUCUGGGAUAACUGGCCGAAAGGUCAGCUAAUACCGGAUAAGACCACGACCUCCUCGGGGGUUGUGGCCAAAGGCGGCCUCUUCAUGAAAGCUGUCGCUACGGGAUGAGCCUGCGGCCCAUUAGCUAGUUGGUGAGGUAAAGGCUUACCAAGGCAAUGAUGGGUAGCUGGUCUGAGAGGAUGAUCAGCCACACUGGAACUGAGACACGGUCCAGACUCCUACGGGAGGCAGCAGUGGGGAAUAUUGCGCAAUGGGGGAAACCCUGACGCAGCGACGCCGCGUGGGUGAUGAAGGCCUUCGGGUCGUAAAGCCCUGUCGUAGGGGAAGAAAUCGUUGUCGGUUAAUACCCGGCAGCGUUGACGGUACCCUGCAAGAAAGCACCGGCUAACUCCGUGCCAGCAGCCGCGGUAAUACGGAGGGUGCGAGCGUUGUUCGGAAUCACUGGGCGUAAAGCGCGUGUAGGCGGCAGGUUAAGUCUGGUGUGAAAGCCCGGGGCUCACCCCCGGAAGUGCGCUGGAAACUGGCCAGCUA